AUCAGUAUUUAUGGCAUGUCAGACUGCCUUUGAUGGAGACUGCCCUUUCUCCCUCCCUCCUUCUCUUCCUCCUUCCCUCCCUCUUGUCUUGCCUAAGCAGGCUGUAGCAGUAAUUCUAGCAUUCCCAUCAUUUGUAUCAUCAAAAGGAUGCUCGCUGGCUGUGGCUGCUUGGCUCUAUCUCCUCCUUGGUCAGAGGAAAUGGAAGUGCUGCAGCGGCUGCAGACUCGCAGACCCGAGGGCGAGUAGCAGCGGACAAACAGCGCCAGGACCGACGCCGGGGGCUGCGGGGGAGGGACAGUGAAAAGAUUUCCCACGGCUGAAGACAACAGCCCCUGCCGCAGGAGCCAGAUGUUCCCUGCCAGCCCUCCCUGUGAUUGUAGUGCAGCGCUAGAGCACCCCGAGACCCCCAGCGGAUUUGGACUCCAAUCCAGCCCACGGUGGCAAGCGGCCAUCUGCCAUCUGCAGAGCUGGUACAGCAGGAACAGAGAGGGAAGAAGGAUGAUUAGCUGGGGUUUACUCUCUGAGGAAGAAAACAGCAUGGAGAAACACAGGGACCUGCCUACAUGGGGAGCUCAUAUCAGCGCUGCAAAAUCAUUGCCUGUGGGACUUGAGACCUGUUAAGCACACCUGAAACAUGGCCUGUGGCUCACACCAAGGGUAUUCUGUACAUGGAUUUGUCCAGCCCUUCACUGUCUGCACAGCCAGGCCCCAAGAUCAGAGGGCCAUGCAGAAGGCAGGAAGAUCAUGGCUGUGUUCACUGGGGUGUGGGAUGGGGACCCCACAGUUCUCACAGUACCUUGUCCCUUGUCUUGGGCUCGGGGGGAGGGAGGGAAACCUUCCAGUUUAGGGCUUUUAAACUGACAGUCUGCAAACUCUUCAAAAGAACCCAAAUAUAUCAGAGAAAAGGACAAUUAGAGGGGCUUAAACCAUCUGUGAACCCAUCCUGGCACAUCCUGGCACACAUCCAAAGGCAUUUUGGAGCCUUUUCUGACCAGGGUUAAGAAGCAGAUUCAGUUCUGCUCCCCACAUGCCAGCCCUGUGACUUGAAGAAUUUUUUGUGAUGCAACAAUGCACUUCAAAAGAAAA